rnacentral:tRNA from 1 species
UGGUUCAGUGGUUAAAUUGCUUGGCUGCUAACCAAAAGGUUGGUGGUUCAAACCCACC